GAGAGGGUAACAUCCAAACACACAGCUCAGCUGAUAGCCAGCGUUAUAUGCUACAAGAAAUCGGAAAAGCUCACUGGGAACUCUGUAAGCUGGCUAAUAACAUAAACAUCGUAUUCGGAGUACAAAACCUGCUGUUUAUGGUAAUAUCGGUUAUUGUGACAACGGGAUUGCUGUAUACCAUUUACGUCGCAUACAUGUUGGAAGAUGAGAUGUUUAACAAUCUUACAGCAAUAAUCCAGCCGCUUGCAUGGACGACCAUUUACAUUUACAAAAUUUGGGUGAUUAACCACUCGUGUGGGCGCGCCAGCAACGAGGCUCAAAGAACUGGAGAAGUUAUUUAUGGUCUCAUGAAACCAUGUGCACAAGAUCAGGAACUUCAAACGAAGAUUCAAGAGUUUUCAGUGCAGAUACUUCAGAAUCCCGUACAGUUUGAUGUCUGCGGAUUCUUCAUUAUGAAUUACACAUUUAUUCAAGCUGUGAUCGGAUAUAUAACAACCUAUCUAAUAAUCCUCAUUCAGAUGACGGAGGCACCAAAGAUCCAGGCCUCGAAUCAUUCUGAUAUGACACCGGAAGUUGAGCAGAAGAAUAAAGUACAAUGAAAGUCAUAGUCAAGAACAGAUUAGCAGACUUGCAUUGCGAAAAAGAAAUGGUGAAUUGAAGAUGAUUUCAGCCGUCAUCCAUCGGGAUUGGACUACUAAAAUUGUCAUACCAUUAAGAAAAGAAACAAUGGUCUGUUCUUUUCAAUAAUUCAAGUUAAUAACGGGAUUAAUAAAACAUUAAUAACUAAACUAAUUACUUCGAUAGAAUCAAACUUGAUUCAUUUGAGUUUUACCAUAUAAACCAUGAUUUUUCUUUUUCACGUAGUUUGCUUAGCCUAACAGCAAAUGAGUUUCUAACAUAUUCGUAACACAAUGCGGUUAUCGCAACAUUGUGACUUCUGUGUAUAUAUUUCAAAACUCAGAAAUAAAUAUAAAUAGUGAUGUAAUAUCCACUGAUUUUUCUAUCAGCACUGUAGGAUAUAAAGUACUGCGUGAAAUCAAUGAAUAUCAUAAAAAUUAUAGUUUUGUUUGCCAGAUUAUAAAAGAUACACGGAAAAUUUUUCAGUUCUAAAUCAAUCGGCUGAAACUUGUUUCUUAUCCAACGCUACAAUAUCACACCAAGGAAAAAUUUGAAAUGUUUCAGAUACAUUGCACAAUAUUAUAUCGGAAUGGGGAAAAAGUUCAGGGCACAAUAAAUUUUGAAAAAAUGAUGUGACCGAUGAUUGUAAAAUGCUUCUAUAGUCGAACGUUUCAAUACAAUUUUUUUAGGUAUGGAAAUGAUCACGUAACAGAAGCAAGCUCCGUAGAAAAUAUUCUCUUAAGAAAUUGAACUUCUAUUUACCAACCGAAUAAAGAUUUGCUCAACUUUUAGUUUCGUUGAUAGGGAUAGAAUUCAAGGUACCGGAUUGCGAAUGCUGACUCAUUUAGACGAGAAUUACUAAAGAAGUAGUUAUUGAGCCAAUCACCUGUAAAACGAGAAGCAGAUCAGAAAGAAAUAAGAAAAACGCAUUUGCGAGAGGAUAACGGACUCACUGACUCAAAUGUCGAAUGUAUGCGUAAUCUAUAGUGAAAAAUUCACAGGCAGUAAACCUCACGGGAUUUUGUAGCAUCUGUACGGCAAAUUUUUGAAUCUGUAAUCAACAGAAAUGAAUUUAUCGUGAUUAAUGGAAUAGACCGAAGCUGUAUCCAUUAUUCGUAUACUUGAUACAUAAUAAUUCUAUCCUGUAAUUCGGAACUCAAGAUCAUGUAGUACUCUUCCCUUUAUCGACCGAGCAAACUCAACCUUUUUUUCCUGUAUUAAAUAAACAAAAGGACGAAUAUAUCAGCUAUGAAAUUUUAGGCCCCUGAAAUGCACACACGUCAAAAAAACACACAUUUUUUUAACGAUUUUUGGAAUAUGAGUAACUUUCUUGAAUUCCGUUAGAAACGAGCGCUGCACCGUCGAAAUUUGAACUCUUGCCGUUCGUUUGUUUAUUUAAUAUAGAAAGGAAAAGUGUGAUUGUGCUCGGUCGGUAAAGGUAGAAAUACUAUAUCACCUUAAAUUCAAAAUAAUUCGAAAUACUAUAUCACCAAAAAGUCAAGAUUACAUAUCAACUUGUUCACUAAAGAAUAACCUAGUCCAUUGAAAGAAUGUUUGUUCUGUAACGUAUCACGUUCGUUGAAAAAUAAAAGUUUGCGCACUCUACUUUAUUGUGAAAAGACGUUUUUGACCAACACGGCGAAAAUAUUAUCACGUACUUCUCCCCUUUCAUGAUCAGUCGCGCCAUUUGACAAUUUUAUUAAU
rnacentral:misc_RNA from 1 species